rnacentral:lncRNA from 1 species
GCGUCAUCCCCCAGGACUCCCCAAGGGAGCCCAGGCGGAGGGCGGCGAGCCGAGGACGGGCCAGCUCUGCCGAUGGGCUGUACCGACGUGAGUGCUGACGGAUCCAGGCUUUGAGAGGAGGCCAGCACUGCACCCAAGCGCCCCCGGAGAAAAGGAGCAUGGGAGACCACCAUGUGUGCAGGGUCCUUGGGCGGAGGCCUCGCCUCCCCUCCAACGGGUCACCUUCGACGCUUUGCAGGGAGCCCUGUGUUGCUGGUACAGGGAAGCCGGACCUCCUAGGACCGAGGGCCCCAGAACGAACAUCUAAAUGGAAAAUCCACUCCCUUCUCCACACGUCUGGAAGAGUGAAGACUUUCGUUGGGGUCAUGGUGCAGGCGCUGUGGGCAGACUGGGCGCCACACUUGCUAGUGACAGAAUCAGCCAAGUUUCUAGACGUUUUGAUUCCUUUCCCCUUCUGUUGUCAGUAUUCAUAUGCACAUGGCUUCCAUUUAUUUUUCAGGACAAACCAGUUAUUAAUGGAAACAACCUUGGCAGCCGGAGCAAGUGUCCUGACGUGUUGGGUUAUCAUUUUAUGCACCAGGGCACAACUGGCUGAGCACGGGCCCAGGAGGUCUGCUCAUGCCCCUCCCUGGUCCCCACUGACCCUCUGGGUCUCGUCUAAUGGGGGUCACCCUGGAUUUGCAUCCUCCAAGAUGCAGCAAGACCUUCUGUGACUUUAGCACAGAAUUCUAAGCACGGGGCCAUCUUGGCCACAGCUGGAGUGAUUGACAAGCACAGUCCCACAGGGGAAAGGAGAGAACAGAACACCCACCUCCCUUCUCCUUAUGUCAGACCAUGCGGCAGGCCAAGGUCGCAAGGCCCCACGUCGUGUCUGAGGUGCUCCAUCCAGAGUCUGUCCUGAGGACUCGGAGAUGAUCUCACAUCACAAGUCCCUCGUAUUUUAUUUUACAACAAAUGAUAAUAUCACCAGGCCAGCUGCACCUUCCCAAAGCUGACAGGAAACCACAGGGAGAGGAAGGCGGAGAAGGCAGAGACAGAUGGUUAAAAGCAGUUGAAGGCAACAUGGCAGCCUCACUUGACCUGACAUAGACCCCAGCUCAUUAUUUGCUCAUUGAAGUGCAUUGUCCUGCC